rnacentral:lncRNA from 1 species
UGAUGGUAAAUACCGAGUGUCGACUGGAUUGAAGGAUGCAAAGUAUUGAUCCUGGGUGUGUCUGUGAGGGUGUUGCCAAAGGAGGUUAACAUUUGAGUCAGUGGGCUGGGGAAGGCAGAUCCAACCUCAAUCUGGUGCGCCAUCUAAUAAGCUGCCAAUGAAUAUAAAGCAGGCAGAAAAACAUAAGAAGGUGAGACUGGCCUAGCCUCCCAGCCUGCAUCUUUCUCCCAUGCUGAAUGCUUCCUGUCCUCGAACAUCAGACUCCAAGUUCUUUAGUUUUGAGACUCGGACUGGCUUCCUUGCUCCUCAAGCUUGCAGACAGCCUAUUGUGGGACCUUGUGAUCAUGGUCUUAACUCUGUCACCCAGGCUGGAGUGCAGUGGUGUGACCACAGCCACUGCAGGCUCAACCUCUGGGACUCAGGUGAUCCUCCCAUCUCAGCCUCCCAAGUAGCUGGGACUACAGGUUGCUUCUUCCAGAUCCCUUUUGAUCUACUUUCAGCUAUGGAUUCAUGAGAAUCAAGACUAAGCAGCCUGAAUUGAAGGAGUAACAGUAUCACCUAACAAUGAUUUUGCUGCCAUAGUAGCUGUUUGUAUACUGGCCAUAUGCCUAGGUAAAAUGAGGCCAGAUCACUCUCAAGAGUUUUCUAUCAGAGUUGGUGGUGAACUACUGCUCACGGAUAAUGCUGUACUGGUCUGGAGCUGCACAUUCUUUUCAGACAACUCUUGUUCCAGCUAGAGUGCAAUGGUGCAACCUCAGCUCACUGCAACCUCCGCUUCCCAGGUUCAAGCGAUUCUCCUGCUUCAGCCUCCCUGGUUGCUGGGAUUACAGGUGACUCUUCUCCUGUAACAGAGCCUCCUUCUUAGAAACUAUGGCCUCCCGUUUCUUUAAGUCUGCUUCCAGCUCCUCUAAUUCUUGGCGUUGGUUCAGAACUUUCUCUACUUCUUCAUCUAACCAUUUCUUUUGCUCAUCCAAUUUCUACAUUAAAAUUAAAAAAAAAGUUACUUGUUUUUCCUUCUGCCAUAAAAAUUAUAUGGUAAUAAUAGAAUUUCAGAUUGGCUGAAAUCUCUUAAAUGAACAUUUAAAAACUAUCACUCAGAGUAACUCAGGUAGCCGUCUGAGAUCCUAAAGACAUCAGUGGUUCUAGUCAAGAUGUAGCUAUGUUGUUUUAUAAAGAAUUAAAAUUUACUCCCCAGAUAUGUUAAACAGUCUAGGAUUUUUUAGCCUGACGAAGAAAGGGCUGAUAAUUUUCUAUGCCUAUAUUAAGAACAUGCUGGAAUCUUUUACUCUGUUGUAGUGGUGCACAGUUCCAUCACAGCACUUACACUGGUGGCUGCCCUACGUAUCUAUCUCCCCAGCUUGAGCUCCUUGAUUGAUUGCAGGGGCUGUAGUUUUUACCCGUCUAUCCACAUGGCUGGUAUAUUGCCUGGGCCACAGUAGGCAUUCAAUAAAAUGUUAAAUGAAUGAGUGAAUGAAUGCCUGAUUCAGUCAGUCAAUGAAGUGAAUAAAUGAAUACACACAGUGGAAGACACAGAUGAUGGAGGAUGGAAGGAAAGCCAAUUUGCAUUGUAGCUUGUCAACCUCAAAUAAUUAUUUUUAAAAAAGAAAAAAAACAAAAAUAAAAAAUUGCUGAAAAGAUCUCCAAAACAA